AACGAACGCUGGCGGCAGGCCUAACACAUGCAAGUCGAACGCCGUAGCAAUACGGAGUGGCAGACGGGUGAGUAACACGUGGGAACGUACCCUUCGGUUCGGAAUAACUCAGGGAAACUUGAGCUAAUACCGGAUACGUCCGAGAGGAGAAAGAUUUAUCGCCGAGGGAUCGGCCCGCGUCUGAUUAGCUUGUUGGUGAGGUAACGGCUCACCAAGGCGACGAUCAGUAGCUGGUCGAGAGGAUGAUCAGCCACAUUGGGACUGAGACACGGCCCAAACUCCUACGGGAGGCAGCAGUGGGGAAUAUUGGACAAUGGGCGCAAGCCUGAUCCAGCCAUGCCGCGUGAGUGAUGAAGGCCC
rnacentral:rRNA from 1 species